UUAUCAGUGUUGCCAUUAUUGUUAUUGUUCAUAAAAUUGCGAGCCAAAUUUUGCAGUUGGGGGUUAUUGGCAAGAGAACUCAAGUCAGGCAUACCUCCUCCAGAUUGAAAGUUACGGGCCAUGUUGGCAAUAUUAGGGUCAUUCAUAAUAUUAUUCAAAGCACCCGAUUGCAUCAAGUUACGCGCCAUGUUCAUAACAGCUAAAAUCACUUAUUAACAAUGAAUAAUGUAUACACUAAAAAACUUACCAGGAUUGUUCAUCAAAGAACCUAAAUCAGGCAUACCUCCUCCAAAAAUGGAUCCAAGAUCAGGAGCGGCACCAGCAGAAGUGCGAGCUUGGUCAGCUCCAGAAGUAGCGGAUGAAUCCGAUGGUUGAUUCAAUUGCUUGUUAGCAGCUUCCAAACCUCUCUUUAAAACCUCAUUAUUGGGAUCAAAGUCUAAGCCCUUCUUAUAAGCAUCAGCUGCCGCUGCUGCAUCGCCAAGUGACAAUUUGGCACGACCAAGUCGUCCAAAGGCUCGAGCAUGAUGAGGAUCUAAACUUAAGCAUGUUAAAGCAUCUUCUACAGCAUUUUCGAAUUGCCCUAGCUGAUUAUACGCGGCUGCACGAUUGGAGUAGUAAACUGGAGAGGUAGGAUCGAUUUCUAUGGCUUUAGUGUAUAAAUCCAAAGCUUUUUGAUAAUCCUUUGCCGCAAUGGCAUUAUUUCCUUCAAGUUUUAAUUUCUCAGCCUCUUCUUUAUUAACAUGAGCAGUGGAAUCCUCCUCCACUGGAUGCAGUUUUUCGUACUCCUCAAAAGCAGCAACUAAACGAUCCCCUGACUUGGGCUUAAUUUCUUCUGGUUUGAUUUUAAAAGAAUCUUGAAUACAUUGAGCUGAUUUUGGUUAGAUUAUCUUAAAUGGGGUUACACAUACCAGCAACCUCCAAGCUUUCCUUUUCUUCUUCAGAAAUCGAACCGGUGGUAAUAGCUUGCUUCAAAUAGUCAAUAAUAGCCGCAGUAACUUUGUUAGAGCUCAUUUUCCUAAUCGUUUUAAGAACCGAUUUUUUUCGUAUUACUGAAAGUAUAUCGUG